AUAUUACUACGCGGGCCUCAAGGGAUUACAAAUCGAAAAUCAAUGCUAAAUAUGUUAGUUUUUGUGUCUUUCAAAACACAAACAAUAUACAGAAUUAGUUGCAGGAUAAAGACAAUAACUGUUUAGUGUCUUUAAAUAUCAGCUGUAUUUGUACUCGGCUCGAAACAGGUGUAGUAGCUCGCUAAAAGCUCGCAUACACCUUGUUUCCUUGCCUCGUACAAAUACAGCUGAUAUUUAAAGACACUAAACAGUUAUUGUCUAUAUAUCUU
rnacentral:lncRNA from 1 species